AUUAAGUUAUUAGUUUACCUUAUUUGAAUAUAAAACUCGAUAAAAUAGUUAUAAAAUGAUUUUCUUAAUAUUACUAAAUAUAAUAUUCUAUGUUGUAUUUAGAAACAUUAACUUAUCGAAUUAAAACAGAUCAACUUUCAUUAACUUUGGUCUAUUGAAUGACUAUUGACUUCAAAUACUGAUAUGUUAAUACGAAAGCUCGUAACUUGAAUAUUCUAAGUUUUCAGAAGAAAUUAAAUUAACCUUUAAAACUAUAAAUAUUUAACUUUAUUUUAACUUUGUUUAGAUAAUAUAAAAUAACAAUUUUUCUAGAGAGUAUCGGAUAUAAAAUCCUCUUAUAACAUGUAAAUUACUUGUUAAUUGCGCAUUUCCAAUUGACUACGGUACAAGUGUGAUUUUGAUCACUGCAGAUUAAUAGUUAGAUCUCAUUGUCAAUAUUUUAUUAUUUCUAUUACUUUUUAUUUUAUGUUAAUAAUUUAUAUUGUAUUAUUUAGCGUUAUUUUUAAUUAUUAAACUUAUGUGUUGAAAGAUUAUUGAUUAAUCUUAGACGAACGAUAACAUUCUUGGAGACCUAUUACUUGUUUAUGUUUCUAUUUGUUACGAGAAAAAGAAGGUAUUUAAGCCAAUUAACAUAAAAUACAGCUCUAUUUUGGCUUAGAGCAAACGAGUGAAUUAAGCAGUCUGAAAAUUCGAAGAUCGUACAGAAUAUUGAAUAUUGAAGAUCGUAUCAAACCAGAGUGACUGAUAAGGCGACGAAGCGGAAAACGUCGUCCAGACAGUAGCAAAG